UACGUAGGGUGCAAGCGUUGUCCGGAAUUAUUGGGCGUAAAGAGCUCGUAGGCGGUCUGUCGCGUCUGCUGUGAAAAUCAGGGCUCAACCCUGGACCUGCAGUGGGUACGGGCAGACUAGAGUGCGGUAGGGGAGAUCGGAAUUCCUGGUGUAGCGGUGAAAUGCGCAGAUAUCAGGAGGAACACCGGUGGCGAAGGCGGGUCUCUGGGCCGUAACUGACGCUGAGGAGCGAAAGCAUGGGGAGCGAACAGG
rnacentral:rRNA from 1 species